GUGCACUCUGGGAGCUGUCACUAGGCCCUUCGGCUCCCGGUCUCGGUGUAGCUGCCGUGGUUGCCAGGAGAGCUGCGCCGGCGAGAAGCGGCCGAGCCAGCAGCAGGUAAUGACUUUACAUGAGUUUGGAACUGGUCUCUAGUGGGAAGUUGUGGGAGGAUGAACACAGAAGAGCUGGAGUUAUUGAGUGACUCCAAAUACAGAAACUAUGUAGCAGCAAUUGACAAAGCACUAAAGAAUUUUGAAUACUCCAGUGAAUGGGCAGAUUUGAUAUCAGCACUUGGAAAACUUAAUAAGGUUUUACAAAAUAAUGCAAAGUACCAAGUAGUACCCAAAAAGCUGACCAUAGGCAAACGCCUAGCUCAAUGUCUACAUCCAGCAUUACCAGGUGGAGUUCAUCGGAAGGCGCUUGAAACAUAUGAAAUUAUCUUCAAAAUAAUUGGACCUAA
rnacentral:lncRNA from 1 species